UGUGUCAAAGCUCACUUGUUUAUUUCUUUAUUUACUUGUUUUUAUGGUGCGGCAGUAUCUGUGAAAGAAAAGCAGGCUCUGCUGUCUUCUGGAGGAGCCGUUCUGUAUGUGAACCAGGAACCUCCCUGCUACAGCACUGAAGACCAGGAAGAAGACCAGGGGUCGAGGGUCACUGUUGCUGGAACUGGUAGCUUUGAGGAAAAAAAGAUCAUAAGAUGAUGCCUGAUUACUUCAGCAGUCUUUAAAAUGGAAAUGACAAGCAACAUGUGACUCACUGAGAUGUGAAAGUGCAUAAGAGUGCAUGUGGUUAGGGAAGAGGGCUUGUAACUGAAAGGUUGCAGGUUUCAUUCCUACAGCAGGUGUAUCCCUGAGUAAGCAGUAUGGCUUUCAGGUUAAAAUAAGCUGCACAUGUCACUAUAUAAAAGUGUGUACUAAAUGGAUAAAAUGUAAAUGUGAAUAUA